GGCUCAUUCACCGACCAUCAAGUGUGCUGUGGAUGAAACAACAACAAAAGCGGAUCAUUAGUGAGUGCAGAAACUUAUGAUGAAUGGGGAUAAUCAUACUCGAAAAGAAAGGAUUACAAUUAUGCUCUUUUUGGCUAAUGAACAUUUUGCCGUGGAAUCCCCCGAAGAAAUGUGCCUCCUUAAACAAAAGGCUGCAAUGGCGAUGACGAGAUGAUGGUGUUGUGAGUGUGCAACAAUAGUUAAGGACUCGCUGUCUGUGCCAAUACGAAGAGUACGAAAACGAGGACAAAAAAUGUAACAUACUAUGCUAGGUGGCCAUCCAUCCAUCCAUCCAACUUUCCACCUGUUGUUGUUUUGCGUAUUGUAGGGUUCUAAGGUCAUUCUAUGCAUCGUCUGGCCUGAGGCCUAUUUAGACAGAGCCCAGUUCAAAAUGUUGUUGUGAUUGUUGUUGUUGAACUAAUUGUUCGCACAAAAACAACAACACCAACAACAACAAUGUCAGUGGCAAGACGAGACAAGAAUAGCAGCAGAAUAGCGCUCAGCUGCUGGCACUUGUAAGGAACCACAGAAGACAACGCAUCCGCACAAUUAGCAAGAAAAGCCAACACUAGCAUAGGGAAAGGGAUUGUAAGCGGGUGACAGCUGAAGGAUCUGAUAACAAGCUGUGGUUGUGACAUUUUUCAAGCGAUACAGAAACAGGUGUGCGCAGAGAGAAGGGGAAGCAAGGGGGAAGCAAGCACUCAACUUGAUACAACAAAAUUAUGUGUAACACACUGUUUGCGCGUCUGUGUAUGUGUGUGUGUGUUGUUGUGAGUGUAUGUGUGUCAACAGUUCACAAGCAACAAGGACGAAGGACGUCUGCACCC